GCCGCAAAGUUGCUAGCCGCCUGGUCAUAACAGAAGUAAGGUGCAAACACGCACCCACUGGAGCACCUUCUUCUCAAGAACUUGCACGCCCCGCACGAAGAGCCAGGUGUCUCCUUUAUGGCCAACAGUUUCAUUCACAAAUUGGGCAAAUGCAGUGCCUUAAAAGAGCCUUUCUUUGGUAUAUCAGAAUAGAAUGGAAGACCUAAUCAUCAUCUUGGCGCAUGCUGGGCUCUAAAGGUAUCAAGUACGGCUGUUGGCCACUAAAUAAUGGUUGGCGGCUGUUACUAUGUCCCCUUCUCAUCUGCAAACAGGUUCAUGAACACAUCCUUUGAUAUGAGUGAAAGAGAGGCUGUAAGUGCUUCUUCUACUGUAUGAAAUAGGAAAAAGUUGGGGGACAAAAUGCCAUUUUAACCAACUUUUGCCCCUAGUCAAAAUAUUUAAAUCCAUAAAAUUAACA